UUGGCAGCUCUGGAGACUGACGUCCUAAUUAUCCACAGAACAGGAGCACGUGGGCAUUUUCCUGCCAAUGUGACAGCCUAGAGGUAGAGAACCCAACUCAGAUUAGACGGUAGUUCAGUGUAAAGCCAUAACAAACUGCAGUCAUU
rnacentral:sRNA from 1 species